UGAGGAAUAUUGGUCAAUGGUCGAGAGACUGAACCAGCCAAGUCGCGUGAAGGAUGACUGCCCUAUGGGUUGUAAACUUCUUUUACAAGGGAAUAAAAUGAGAUACGUGUAUUUUAUUGCAUGUACCUUGUGAAUAAGCAUCGGCUAACUCCGUGCCAGCAGCCGCGGUAAUACGGAGGAUGCGAGCGUUAUCCGGAUUUAUUGGGUUUAAAGGGUGCGUAGGUGGGCUGUUAAGUCAGCGGUGAAAGUUUGUCGCUUAACGAUAAAAUUGCCGUUGAAACUGGUAGUCUUGAGUAUAGAUGAAGUAGGCGGAAUGCGUGGUGUAGCGGUGAAAUGCAUAGAGAUCACGAAGAACUCCGAUUGCGAAGGCAGCUUACUAAGGUAUAACUGACACUGAAGCACGAAAGCGUGGGUAUCAAACAGG
rnacentral:rRNA from 1 species